AAAAAAAUACAGUGCUAAGAGUUUUCGACACGGAGUUGAAAGCUAAGGGUUCGGAUUGCAGGGGAGCCCUGCUCUUGCCUCCAGCCAGAUGGGGUUGACAAGAGGAAUUUUUGGUCCAUGCUUUUGCAUUAGUCAAACAGCUUUCUUUUUUUUCCUUCCCUGAUUAACUAUACUUUGACAAUCACGCUUGGUGAUGAUGGGAGCAGCUCUGCAUAUAAUGGAUGUACUCAGAGUGAUUCUGAGGGAAUUCUGCAGUAAAUGAGUGAAGAAAUUGCUGGUGCAGGACUGCUGAAUUCCAGAGCAGCUGCAUCACAGCAACAGACCUCCUGCCCUUCGUUCAUGUGAUGAUGAGCACAUCCUCGGUUAUAACAGAAUUACGAUGCUCCAUUCCCUCGGUUUUGCUGGCACUGCAGCAGUCCAUGAGGGGGUGUCCCUGGAAAAGAAGUUGCUGGUAGUUAAGUUGCACCUGAGAAGAAAUCUGAAUAUGUGAUGAAAAGCAGCUUUGGAGGUAUAAAAAAGUGUUUCUUCAUGAAAGACCACAAAUAUCACCUGCUGUAAAGCUGGAGGAAGACAGGGGAAGUCUGUUUUCAUUAUGCACGUGGUAUGAAGAACAUCUGAGUGCAGGCCUAGAAUUUGUUACACAAAAGGCAAUCCAGAUAACUUUGCAUUUGAAUUAAUUUUGUAUACGGAAAGAUUGGGACUUAGAGUAGCAAGUUUUGUUCAUCUCUUACCACGCGCUGCCAAAAUACCAUGCAACUACGUGACUGUAGGGCACCAUAUGAACCAGGUCUUUCUUUUUCCCCCCAAGGAGAAACGGAGAUGUUUGCAGAUAAAACAAGGUAACAUUGUAGCACUCCUUAGUAGUUACAGUUCAUUAACAUGAGAAUAACCGCUCUUACGCAAGCAACAGGUGCGAGCAACAGGUGCGAGCAAUGUGCCUGAGUGACUGGAGGGGUGGAGCCAGGAUCCGACCCUUCUCAGACCUCAUUUAAGGGCUGGCAAGGGAGGCAAAAGGUUUCUUACUGAAGAUCCUUGUGUACCUGAGGCCUUUUGAAGGUAAGCAGAUUCUUUCUUUUGUUUCUGUACUUAUAGCUGUUGUAUUUUGGC
rnacentral:lncRNA from 1 species